AACGAACGCUGGCGGCAUGCCUAACACAUGCAAGUCGAACGAGACCUUCGGGUCUAGUGGCGCACGGGUGCGUAACGCGUGGGAAUCUGCCCUUGGGUUCGGAAUAACAGUUAGAAAUGACUGCUAAUACCGGAUAAUGUCUUCGGACCAAAGAUUUAUCGCCCAGGGAUGAGCCCGCGUAGGAUUAGCUAGUUGGUGAGGUAAAGGCUCACCAAGGCGACGAUCCGUAACUGGUCUGAGAGGAUGAUCAGUCACACCGGAACUGAGACACGGUCCGGACUCCUACGGGAGGCAGCAGUGGGGAAUAUUGGACAAUGGGCGAAAGCCUGAUCCAGCAAUACCGCGUGUGUGAAGAAGGCC
rnacentral:rRNA from 1 species